GAACCCUAACCCUGCACUCCUCACAUGGUCUGUCAAACCUACACUACCGGUCUAAAGUUUUAGAACACCUACUCAUUCAAGGGUUUUUCUUUAUUUUUUACUAUUUUCUACAGUGUAGAAUAAUUGUGAAGACCUCAACUAAUGAAGUAACACAUAUGGAAUCAUGUAGUAACCAAAAAAGAGUUAAAACAAAUCAAAAUAUAUUUUGAGAUUCUUCAAAUAGCCACCCUUUGCCUUAAUGGCAGCUUUGCACAUGCUUGGCAUUGUCUCAACCAGCUUCAUGAGGUAAUCACCUGAAAUGCAUUUUAAUUAACAGGUGUGCCUUGUUAAAAGUUCAUUUGUAGAAUUUAUUUUCUUCAUAAUGUGUUUGAGCCAAUCAGUUGUGUUCUGACAAGGUAGGGGUGGUAUAAAGUACAAAUCUGUCGUUCUGCCCCUGAACAGGCAGUUAACCCACUGUUCCUAGGCCGUCAUUGAAAAUAAGAAUUUGUUCUUAACUGACUUGCCUAGUUAAAUAAAGGUCAAAUAAAAAAUAAAAUACAGAACGCCUGCUCCCUAUUUGGUAAAUGACCUAGUCCAUAUUAUGGUAAGAACAGCUCAAAUAAGCAAAGAGAAACGACAGUCCAUUAUUACUUUAAGACAUGGAGGUCAGUCAAUCCGGAAAAUGUCAAGAACAUUGAAAGUUUCUUAACCUCUCUGGGAUAUGUGGGAGUCUAGCGUCCCACUUGGCCAAAAGCCAGUGAAAAUGCAGAGCACCAAAUUCAAAUAAAUUACUAUAAAAAUCAAACUUUCAUGAAAUCACACAUGCAAGAUACCAAAUUAAAGCUACACUUGUUGUGAAUCCAGCCAACAUUUCAAAAAUACUUUUCGGCGAAAGCAAAGGAUGCUAAUUAUCUGAGGAUAGCACCUCCGUAAACAGAGAAAGUAAUAUUUCAACCCUGCAGGCGCGAGACAAAACGCAGAAAUAAAAAUAUAAUUCAUGCCUUCCCUUUGACGAGCUUCUUUUGUUGGCACUCCAAUAUGUCCCAUAAACAUCACAAGUUGUCCUUUUGUUCGAUUAAUUCCGUCGAUAUAAAUCCAAAAUGUCCAUUUAUUUGGUGCGUUUGAUCCAGAAAAACACCGGUUCCAACUUGCGCAACGUGACUAGAAAAUAUCUCAAAAGUUACCUGUAAACUUUGCCAAAACAUUUCAAACUACUUUUGUAAUACAACUUUAGGUAUUUUUUUUAAUGUAAAUAAUCAAUAAAAUUGAAGACUGGAUGAUCUGUGUUCAAUACAGGAGGAAAACAAACUGUAGCUUUCUGGUCACGCACCUCUAACAGUACACUACAAGGGACCCUCGUUCUGAACAGGGCUACUUCUUCAUUACACAAAGGAAAAACCUCAACCAAUUUCUAAAGACUGUUGACAUCCAGUGGAAGCGGUAGGAACUGCAAGGAAAUCUGGAUUCCCAAUGACAACUCAUUGAAAAGAGAGUGACCUAAAAAAAAGAAAUCUGAAUGUUUUGUCCUCGGGGUUUCGCCUGCUAAAUAAGUUCUGUUAUACUCUACUAAUAAUAUGCAUAUCUUCUGGGGAUGAGUAGCAGUCAGUUGAAUUUGGGCAUGCAUUUCAUCCGGACGUGAAAAUACUGGCCCCUGUCACCAAGAAGUUAAAGUGCAGUCUCAAAAACCAUCAAGAGCUAUGAUGCAACUGGAUCUCAUGAGGACCGCCACAGGAAAGGAAGACCCAGAGUUACCUCUGCAGAGAAUACGUUCAUUUGAGUUAACUGCACCUCAGAUUGCAGCCCAAAUAAAUGCUUCAUAGAGUUCAGGUAACAUACAUCUCAAAAUCAUCUGUUCAGAGGAGACUGAAUCAGGCAUUCAUGGUCAAAUUGCUGCCAAGAAACCACUACUAAAGGACACCAAUAAGAAGAGACUUGCUUGGGCCAAGAAACAUGAGCAAUGGACAUUUAUAUCGUUGGAAAUGUGUCCUUAGGUCUGGAGACCACCGUGUCUUUGUGAGAUGCGGUGUGGGUGAACGGAUGAUCUCCGCAUGUGUAUUUCCCACCGUAAAGCAUGGAGGAGGAGGUGUGAUGGUGUGGGGGUGCUUUGCUGUUGACACUGUCAGUGAUUUAUUUAGAAUUCAAGGCACACUUAACCAGCAUGGCUACCACAGCCUUUUGCAGCGAUUCUCCAUCUAAUCUGGUUUUAAAUGUUUUAUUUAAAAAUAUAUAUAUUUUACCUUUAUUUAACCAGGCAAGUCAGUUAAGAACAUAUUCUUAUUUUCAAUGACGGCCUGGGAACAGAGGUUAACUGCCUGUUCAGGGGCAGAACGACAGAUUUGUACCUUGUCAGCUCGGGGGUUUGAACUCGCAACCUUCCGGUUACUAGUCCAACGCUCUAACCACUAGGCUACGCUUAGUGGUUAGCCCUAGGCUAAGCUUAGUGGUUAGCCCUAGGCUACGCUUAGCCCUUACACCUCCAGGUUGUGUAAGGGCUAUUUUACCAAGAAGGAUAAUGAUGGAGUGCUGCAUCAGAUGACCUGGCCUCCACAAUCACCCAACCUCAAUCAAAUUGAGAUGGUUUGUGAUGAGUUGGACCGCAGAGUGAACAAAAAUUAGCCAUCAAGUGCUCAGCAUAUGUGGGAACUCCUUCAAUACUGUUGGAAAAGCAUUCCAGGUGAAGCUGGUUGAGAGAAUUCCAAUAGUUUACAAAGCUGUUAGCCAACCUUUGCCUUGAUAUUUGAAGAAUCUCAAAUAUAACAUAUUUUCAUUUGUUUAAUACUUUUUACUUGAUUCCAUAUGUGUUAUUUCAUAGUUCUGAUUUUUUUCACUGUUCUACAAUGUAGAAAAUAAUAAAAAAUUAAGAACAACCCUUGGAAUGUGUAUGCAUUCUAAAACUUUUGACCAGUAGUGUGUAUACACACACACACACGCCUCUGACAGUACACACACAUGCUUAUGAGUCUGGUAUUGAGAGGAAAAGUUUGCUAUUGAAUAUGAAGAGCGCUCUCCUUAAACUCCCAACUUAAUAUGUGUGAAUGAUACCUAUGUGAUGAUGGGAAUGAUUGAAACCCCAACAACACAGACUGGUGAGAUUUAAUAUGGUCUUAUGUCAACCUACUGGUUUCUUAGUGUUGCCGUCAGUGUACAAACAGAGAUCAACUUUAGGUUUUAAACAGACAGAUGGACGGGGUAUGUGGAUAUAACAUGGUCUACUCUACAGUCAAGUAUCUCUUUGGAAGACCAGAGAGUGAGCUGCUAGACUUUGUUUCUGUGUUCUAACCACGGAAUAAAAGAUGUAGUACUACCGGUAACCUUCUUAACUGAUACCAUGACGACGUCCCAGGUGAACUGAACUAGAUUGUAAGAGAUGGCAGCAUGUUAGGGAGGAACUAGGUUUUAGCCUUGAGCUUUGCUUUGCUGUGACAACUUUUGUCCAUGUGGAGUUAUUUUUGGUGGUGUAAAGCAUCCGCUGGUAGUUUGAAGCAGAGGAAGAUUUGUUGUGAUUUUACUUAACGUGUGUAACUAGAUAUUUUAACGGUUGUGUCUGUGAACUUAGCAUUUCGUUUUUAAAUCCUUUUGUCCUUGACUUUCAAUCAUCAUGUGCGCAUUUACGUCACUCUUGGGUAUUCUGACAUUUACAUGUGGUCUGUUUUUAAAUGUGUCCCUCUAUUCCUAACUCCUGCCCCCUUAAAGUCCACAGAUGUCCAAAGAGUGGAUAUCUGUGAUCACUAUGGAGAUGAUUCCACCCUCAAGAUGAGAUGUGGAGCUCUAAUUUGCCGUAUUGCGUUCAUCUAUCCAGACCUGUGCAGAUCUGUGAACUCUUUAACGGGCUAGUAGUAGGUCCUAAGGGAAGGGGGAGGAGGCUACUGACUAAAAGGUCAGAUCUGUGAACUGUUUAACGGGCUAGUAGUAGGUCCUAAGGGAAGGGGGAGGAGGCUACUGACUAAAAGGUCAGAUCUGUGAACUCUUUAACGGGCUAGUAGUAGGUCCUAAGGGAAGGGGGAGGAGGCUACUGACUAAAAGGUCAGAUCUGUGAACUGUUUAACGGGCUAGUAGUAGGUCCUAAGGGAAGGGGGAGGAGGCUACUGACUAAAAGGUCAGUUAUCUGAACACAUUAGACCUUUUGUCUGAUCCACAGAUCAUUAUCAUAAUAAGGAUUAAUAUCAGUGGUGAAAGACCAUGUGUAUUUAGUGCUUCCAAGUCAACAAAAAAAGCGAGGUCAAAUUAUGACGUCUGUGAUCUUCAGGUCGGAAAGUCUGAGCUCUAGAAAGAUUGCCGGAGUUUCUGACUUGGAAUUCUCAGUUAAAUGGUCUUUUCAAAGCGAUUUUUCCCAGAUGGAGCUAGUUUUUUUCUUCUUCAGGAUUUCCAGUUGUCUUAAACGCACUGAUGUCAGAGGCACUGAAGUCGGAAGUCUGAGAUUUUCCCCAGGUUUUUUAUUUAUUUUUUACACAGCACAUCACAGUGUUCUGCUCUGGGAAAUGUGUUUUUGCAAUUGUGACUAUUUGCUCUAUCGGUAUACAGUCAAAUGGGUUGCUGAUAUACAGUUUUGGUCUUUAUGUUCUUGAGUGUUCCUAAGGGUUCUAGGGUUACUCCUGGGCUAAAAACCAUGUUCAAUGUAUUGUCUCAUUUAAAAAUGCUCAGGCUGAUUAUUGCAAAUAAGGAUGAAUCAACCUGCCUGGUAAACUAUGGUUUAGUUCAGGGAGUAUAGGUUUUAUUUAGGGCUUGGAAAUGAAUUGGUUGACUUGUGGGUUUGUAUUUUCUAUUGGCAAGAUGAGAUGUUGUACCUUCAGUAAGCCUGUGGUAGUUGGCAGUGGGAGAAGAUGACUUGGGGAUAGAUGAAGGGAUAGGGAGAGGUUUAGCCUCUUAUUACACUGCUGAUACCCUUUUCUACCGGUGAUCCCUUUAAUAAAAGUGUUUCUGUUAUUUA